AAUAAAUGAGUUAAAUGAGAUAUUGACUUUUCAAAAUUAACCAAACAACUAAUAAUAAAAGGACAUGUGGCGAGGAAUAUAAAAUAAAAUAAACAAAACAAAAUCAGAAAAGCACAAAUUAAAAGCAUAUUUCACUCUCUUUCUCAAUGUUUCUCAUCUCUCUGCUUCUACACUCUCACAGAAAAACGAACAAAUCUCAUAAGUUGUCUCAACCUCACUCUCUAUUUUAAAUUCCUUUACUUUCUCAAAUGAAAACACAACAUACAUAAACCAAAUAAAAUCACAAGGAAAGCUUUGAAUAAAAUAUAUAAAAAGUGAGGAUUACCGGCGAUACUCGUAGAUCUGACGGUGGCAGAUCCGACGAGAGGGAGCAAUUGCACUAGUGGGAUGACGACAAAAUAACUGUCCAAGGAGAGUAGAAAGAAGUGGCAGGACAAAGUGGCAGGACAUUUUUGGGGUUUUGUAGAAUUUGAACGGAUAUAUAUAACUAGUAUAUAGGUAACUAAUGCAUUUGAAGGACAACAAUUCUAGUUACAUUAACAAUGUAAACAUAUUGGAUAUGCCUUGUAAGUAUAUUGUAAUUUUACUUAUAUAUAACUUUUUGCCUUGAUAAUUCUAGUUAUUGUUACAAUGUAACUAUA